rnacentral:rRNA from 1 species
UACGUAGGGCGCAAGCUUUGUCCGGAAUUAUUGGGCGUAAAGAGCUCGUAGGCGGCCUGUUGCGUCCGCUGUGAAAUCCCGGGGCUCAACCCCGGGCCUGCAGUGGAUACGGGCUGGCUAGAGGCAGGCAGGGGAGAACGGAAUUCCUGGUGUAGCGGUGAAAUGCGUAGAUAUCAGGAGGAACACCGGUGGCGAAGGCGGGUCUCUGGGCAGUAACUGACGCUGAGGAGCGAAAGCGUGGGGAGCGAACAGG